GGGGAUGUGGUGAAAUUGGUAUACACGCAGUGUUCAGGUCGCUGUGCCUUCGGGCGUGAGAGUUCGACUCUCUCCAUCCCCACCA
rnacentral:tRNA from 1 species